rnacentral:ncRNA from 1 species
AUGUACUUGCCGCCGGGUAAGGGGAAACGUUGGAUGCCGUAUCGUUAGGCCUUUGAAGAUACGGGAUGCCGGCGUUUUUUUGUU